GGCAGCAUGGCAUAGUGGUUUGAGUGUUACACUACAAUGUCGAAGACCAGGGUUCAAAUCCCUGCUCAGCCA